UACGUAGGUGGCAAGCGUUGUCCGGAUUUACUGGGCGUAAAGCGCACGUAGGCGGAUUGUUAAGUCAGAGGUGAAAUCCCGGAGCUCAACUUCGGAACUGCCUUUGAUACUGGCAAUCUAGAGUCCGGAAGAGGUUAGUGGAAUUCCCAGUGUAGAGGUGAAAUUCGUAGAUAUUGGGAAGAACACCAGUGGCGAAGGCGGCUAACUGGUCCGGUACUGACGCUGAGGUGCGAAAGCGUGGGGAGCAAACAGG
rnacentral:rRNA from 1 species